CUACGAAGGCGGCAAGCGUUGUUCGGAAUAACUGGGCGUAAAGCGCACGUAGGCGGAAUGUUAAGUUAGAGGUGAAAUCCCAGGGCUCAACCCUGGAACGGCCUUUAAUACUGGCAAUCUAGAGACCGAGAGAGGUGAGUGGAAUUCCGAGUGUAGAGGUGAAAUUCGUAGAUAUUCGGAGGAACACCAGUGGCGAAGGCGGCUCACUGGCUCGGUACUGACGCUGAGGUGCGAAAGCGUGGGGAGCAAACAGGAUUAGAAACCCUAGUAGUCC
rnacentral:rRNA from 1 species